AAUCCCGAACCCGCUGAGGGUGGGGUCCUUACUAUACGGAAUCAUUGGGACGUCCCUGUCCCAUAGGUAAUUGAUUUUUAAAGGGGUUAGGGUAGAUUAAGGUUAAAGGUGGGGUCGUCCCAAGGAUCCCAGAUAGCACUAACCACGUGUAUGCUGUGUUUUGCGGGUGGUUUUGGAAGAGAGCUAGCUACACUUGAAUAACUGUAAUUUCAAGUGCAUCAACUACCUUAAUGCUUAGUUUACCUUUGCCAUAACGAUAGUCCAACAAUAAAUGUGAAUUAUUCAGAAGAUACUUCGGUCACUUCAUUACUAUUCAGUUGACGUUUGCAUAGGCUGCUACUUUUGACUACAGUGAAUGGCAAAUAGCCCUCUGGUAUUGACAAGGUACACGUCAAGUCGACAAAUGGGUGAAUGGUUAUCAUAAUGCUGUACAUUUUAGAAUUUGAACGGUUUAAAUGCUACAAUCAGUGCACGCCACCGCAACAAACGCUCUAAGGUCAAACUGAUUACGAAUGUUUAGCCCUGCUUCUCAGAAAACAAGGAGUUUCAAGUUGUAAUGUCACGUGCACAAUUGUCUUUCUUGCAAGCGCUAAAUCCAACAAUGAAAUAAUCAAUCAUGUAAUACUAAAAAUAACAAGGUCGAAAUAAGAAGAACACGAGAAAGUAAGUAAGCUGUAUACAGGGUCAGUGCCAAUACCAUAUUUACAAUGUGCAGGGAUACUGGAGUGAUAGAAGUAGAUAUGUAAGGGGGUAAGGUGACUAGGCAUCAGGAUUUAUAAUACAUAGUAGCAGCAGAGUAUAUGAUGAUUGUAUGUGAGUGGGUGUGCGUGUAGUCAGAAUAAAUGUAAAUGCAUAUUAUAUGUGUGAGUGUUUGUAGGGCCCUGUGAAUGUGCAUAGAGACAGUGUAAAAAAUAAAUACACGGGUCAAAUCAGAUAGUGUGUAGCCAUUUUGUCAUCGAUUUAGUUAGCUAUUUAGCAAGUCUUAUGGCUUGGGGAUAGAAGCUGUUCGGGAGCCUGUUGAUGUCAGAUUUGAUGCACUGGUACCACUUGCCGUGCACAAGCAGAGAGAACAGUCUAUGGAUCGAGUAAACUAAGAUCUUUACUUCAAUAGUGAUACAAUAUGCCUGGAGAAAUACCCUACUAAACUAAGCCAUGCGUUUUGAUGUGUUUCUCAUUAGAUGGUGUCUUCUGUAUUGAAUUGUAUUCUAUGGUAUAUUGUCUUAUUUCAUGCUUAUAGAUCUUUUUUUCCCCUCAGUGGUGAAACAGAAUGGAAUAGAAAAUACCUUCUACAAGGUGUAAUUUACUAUAAAAGUACAUCUGGUGCUACUGUUUUCAUACCGUUUUGGAUACAUUAGAGAGCCUUGGAUGAAAUGUGUCAAACAGCACAAGGUAGACAUUUAGGAACAGAUAAUCCCAAUAGAUUUCCUAGAUGUCAUGUUUCAGUGGCAUAUCACUAACACUGUGAGGUUUGCAGUGUCACUCCAAUCCUGGGAAUUUCCCAAUCCCCCCGGCCAGGUGAUAGACGUGUCUUUCAGACUAGGGAUGCAGCAGGCAGACGCUACAGGAAAGUACCUCAAAGAAGUUGAGUUCACCAACAUGUUUGCCAGUAUUAUGGCCCGUGCCCGCCAGACUUGCAAAGCGAUUUUGAAGCACAACAGUUGUUGCUCUGGCCUAGAAAUUGUGACGCAUCACUUAAAGAGAGGUGUGUGUGGGGGGGCUGGUGGUGGACAUGAAGUACAUGGAUACAGCAGCUGGUCUAUUAUGGCUGAACUUCCGUCCUCCAGGGAGAGAGACUAUAGAACAUGUAAGUCAUUCUGGGGGAUCCUAAGGGAGCAUGUCUGUCUGCCUCUUUCUCCCUCUCUAUAUAUUCCUCCUGAUUGGAGACCAGAUGCAAUACAUUUUAUCAACACUAGAUGGCACCUUUGGCAUGCAUUACAGGGUAAUCCAUUCUUGACUAUGAAUAUGCCAAAUAAAUGUUUUGCAAAACAGGUGCCUUCAUCAAAUUCAUUUGCUAGUUUACGAGACACGUUGUCCAGAUGAUGAUGCAGAUCUGCCAUGGUAUGUGACCUCAGUAUCUCUCUAACCACCCAGGACAUGCUGUAGGCCCCUCAAUCAGGAUGGAACCGGUGUCAACCAGUCUGUUGUAUGGGUGUAGGAGAAGAACGGGAAGGACGAGUCAAUGUUGUGAAUAAGAGUGCUUUGUUCUGUGUUAGAUAAAGACACGGAUCAAAGAGUUUCUGGAGCACCUGUUCCAGCGCAUGGUGGCUGACCACUGCGGACCAGGACAGAAGGAGACAGGGAUUCCUCAGACAGAGGGGGCUCUCGCAGGCAAGCCGGACGAUGGGAUCAGAGACAUCCCUGCCAUGCGCUGGUGGUCAGCCAUGGGGCCCUCAUACAGUUGAAGUCGGAAGUUUACAUACACCUUAGCCAAAUACAUUUAAACUCAGUUGUUUCACAAUUCCUGAAAACGCUUUGUUUUAGGUCUGUUAGGAUCACCACUUUAUUUUAAGAAUGGGAAAUGUCAGAAUAAUACUACAGAGAAUUAUUUAUUUCAGCUUUUAUUUCUUUCAUCACAUUCCCAUUGGGUCAGACGUUUACACUCAAUUAAGUUUUUGGUAGCAUUGCCUUUAAAUUGUUUAAUUUUGGUAAAAUGUUUCAGGUAGCCUUCCACAAGCUUCCCACAAUAAGUUGGGUGAAUUUUGUCCCAUUCUUCCUGACAGAGCUGGUGUAACUGAGUCAGGUUUGUAGGCCUCCUUGCUCGCACACGCUUUUUAAGUUCUGCCCACAAAUUGUCUAUUGGAUUGAGGUCAGGGCUUUGUGAUGGCCACUCCAAUACCUUGACUUUGUUGUCCUUAAGCCAUUUUGCCACAACUUUGGAAGUAUGCUUGGGGUCAUUGUCCAUUUGGAAGACCCAUUUGCGACCAAGCUUUAACUUCCUGACUGAUGUCUUGAGAUGUUGCUUCAAUAUAUCCACAGAAUUUUCCCCUCUCAUGAUGCCAUCUAUUUUGUGAAGUGCACCAGUCCCUCCUGCAGCAAAGCACCCCCACAACAUGAUGGUGUUCUUCGGCUUGCAAGCCUCCUGAUUUUUCCUCCAAACAUAACGAUGGUCAUUAUGGCCAAACAGUUCAAUUUUUGUUUCAUCAGACCAGAGGACAUUUCUCCAAAAAAGUACAAUCUUUGUCCCCAUGUGCAAUUUCAAACUGUAGUCUGGCUUUUUUUAAUGGCAGUUUUGGAGCAGUGGCUUCUUCCUUGCUGAGCGGCCUUUCAGGUUAUGUCCAUAUAGGACUCAUUUUACUGUGGAUAUAGAUACUUUUGUACAUGUGUCCUCCAGCAUCUUCACAAGAUCCUUUGCUGUUCUGGGAUUGAUUUGCACUUUUCGCACCAAAGUACGUUAAUCUCUAGGAGACAGAACACGUCUCUUUCCUGAGCUGUAUGACGGCUGCGUGGUCCCAUGGUGUUUAUACUUGCGUACUAUUGUUUGUACAGAUGAACCGUGGUACCUUCAGGCGUUUGGAAAUUGCUCCCAAGGAUGAACCAGACUUGUGGAGGUCUACAAUUUUUUUCUGAGGUCUUGGCUGAUUUCUUUUGAUUUCCCCAUGAUGUCAAGCAAAGAGGCACUGAGUUUGAAGGUAGGCCAUGAAAUACAUCCACAGGUACACCUCCGAUUGACUCAACUGAUGUCAAUUACAAUAUCAGAAGCUUCUAAGCCAUGACAUAAUUUUCUGGAAUUUUCCAAGCAGGUUAAAGGUGAAUUCUAAGUGAAAUAAUCUGUUUGUAAACAAUUGUUGGAAAAAUGACUUGUGUCAUGCACAAAGUAGAUGUCCUAACCCACUUGCCAAAACUAUAGUUUGUUAACAAGAAAUUUGUGGAGUGGUUGAAAAACGAGUUUAAAUGACUCCAACCUAAGUGUAUGUAAACUUCCGACUUCAACUGUAUAUGGGGUAGAGUGGAAGGGGUUGAAGGGAGGAACACAUCUCCUGGUUUGUUCACACUAGGGCCGACUAGAACCGUAUUGUGCUCUUUAGGAAAUGUUCUUUUCACAUUGUCCUUUCCAGCAUGUCUUCUUCAGCAACUAUGGUGGAUGCGUAACCAAGCCAGCCCAGUGGAGCUUGGCUUCACUCGGCUUGGCGCCAAAGUGUGGAUCAGGCUAUUAAGUGCUAACUAAGAUAUACACAGAGACACCACACAGACAUCUGGUUUAAAGUUAUUUAAAACGUUUAAAGUAAUAUGUAUUUGUUUUGUCUCAUACUUUGUCAAUGUACAUUAUUUAAAACAAUCAAGGUUGAGUAAAUAAACAGUCAUAUUUUGAAGCUUUCCCAUCUCAUCACUGCUCAAACCUGUCCUUAAAAUUCAAAUUUCAGAUUCUUUGACACCAUCUAAAUUCAGCCGUUCAUAACUUGAGUUGAAUACCUUAUUUUAACCUCAGUUCCCAUUUCUGUGUUGCAAUGUACUGACAUCACAGCGUUCCUCUCAGGCUGCUGAUAAUCAUUGAUUCACUGUUAACCGGUGCGGCUCUUUGCUCUUAUCACUCUCUGCUUCUAUAUACACGGAGUGUACAAAACAUUAACAUGGGCUUUCCAUGACUUAGACUGACCAGGUGAAUCCAGGUGAAAGCUGGGAUCCCUUAUUGAUGUCACUGGUUAAAUCCACUUUAAUCAGUGUAGAUGAAGGGAAGGAGACAGGUUAAAGAAGGAUUUUUAAGCCUUGAGAAAAUGUAGACAUGGAUUGUGUAUGUGUGGCAUUCAGAGGGUGAAUAUUUAUGUGCCUUUGAAUGGCGGAUGGUAGUAGGUGCCAGGCGGGCCUGUUUGAGUGUGUCAAGAACUGCAACGCUGUUGGGUUUUUCACGCUCAACAGUUUCCCGUGUGUAUCAAGAAUGGUCUACCUCCCAAAGGACAUCCAGCCAACUUGACACAAAUGUGGGACGCAUUGGAGUCAACAUUGGCCAGCAUCCCUGUGGAACGCUUUCGACACCUUGUAGAGUCCAUGGCCGACGAAUUGAGGCUAUUCUGAGAGCAAACGGGAGCGCAACGCAAUAUUAAGAAGGUGUUUCUAAUGCUUUGUACACUCAUUGUACACUGAACAAAAAUAUAAACGCAAAAUGUAUAGUUUUGGUCCCAUGUGUUGAAAUUAAAGAUACCAGAAAUGUUCCAUACGCAUAUGUAUUCUCUCAAAUGCACACAUUUGUUUACAUCCCAGUUAGUUAGCAUUUCAUCUUUGCCAAGAUAAUCCAUCCACCUGACAGGUGUGGCAUAUAAAGAAGCCGAUUAAACAUCAUGAUCAUUACACAGGUGCACCUUGUGCUGGGGACAAUAAAAGACCACUCUAAAAUGUGCAGUUUUGUCACACAACACAAUGCCACAGAUGUCACAAGUUUUGAGGGAGCAUGCAAUUGGCAUGCUGA